CGCGCGACAGCGGUGAUAAAAUAUAGAUUGCAGCUCACGGCGGACGGCAAUCCAACGCGGAAAAUAAUAAUUAUUGAUGAGAAAAUAUCUUAUACGGCGUUCAGAUGUUUCUCCUUGGGCAGUGAACAUUUUCGAGCGUUAUCGUUUUUGCGUCACGCUCGAUACCUAUUACACAAUAUUAAAACGAGAGGCGAUUUUUAUACUUAGUUUUACAUUAUUACUGGAUUUUCAAAUUUUACGAAAAACACCGAAAAUUCUGACAGUUUAAUCCGGACGUCGAAAUGGGUUUUGGAGUUCAAUUUGUUUGUCACAAUUAUGGGUUAUGCACUAUGCAAUGGUGAAAAAUCAUAAAACUCCAGAUAAUAACCUGAUGAAAUCUUAACUACGGGAGGUGUAUCAAGAUUGUAUAGAGACGGGUUUGUCCAGUCCAGUGUACGGUAUGCAAAGGUGAAAAAUCAUAAGACUCCAGAUAAUGACCCGAUGAAAUCUUAAUUACAAAAGGUGUAUCAAGAUUGUAUAGAGAUGGAUUAUUAGUAGAGUCUAGUUAGCUGUAUGCAAAAGCAAAAAAUCAUAAAACUUCAGAUAAUAACCUGAUGAAAUCUAAAUCACAGGAGGUGUUUCAAGAUUGUAUGCGACAACGGUGAUAAAUUAAUAUAGAUCGCAGCUCACGACGGACUGCAAUCCAACGCGGAAAAUAAUUAUUGAUGAGAAAAUAUCUAUACGGCGUUCAGAUGUUUCCGCUUGGGCAGUGAACAAUUUUGAGCGCUAUCGUUUUUGCGUAACGCUCGAUUCAUUUUAUAUUAUUAAAAUGAGAGGCAAUUUUCAUAUCUGAAGUUUUACUGGAUUUUCAAAUAUUUCUAAUAACACCAAAAAUAUUUUUGCCACUAACUGUCUAAUUCGGACGUCGGAAUGAGUGUCAGCCUUGGAGUUCAAUUUGUUUUUUACAAUUAUGCGGUAUGCAAUGGCGAAAAAUCAUAAAACUCCAGAUAAUAACCUGAUGAAAUCUUAAUCACGGGAGGUGUAUUAAGAUUGUAAGAUAUUGAUGUCUGCAGUCUGCACGUGCUUCCUGUUAAGAAUAGUGUAACUCAUUCAAGUGGAAAUGAAUUAACUAUGAUAGAGAAUGUUUUAUAGGAUAAUUGUAAACCAUGUUAUACAUUUCCAUCAGAUCAAUUAGCAAUAAUACAUAUAAGAUAACUAUUGAUGAUUUUGUAAAUUAUGAGUUUUUCAUAGCAAGUGCUUAUUCAUUGAUUGAUGUAUCAUUGAUGAAUAAUAGUAACACCAUUUCUAAAGAUAAAGUUCUUUGAUACAAUUUUACAAAUGUACUGUUUAAAUAAGUCUGAACACCAAAAACUCCACUGAUGCUGCUGAAGAGCUUAAUGAAACAACCCAGUCUUCUUCUAUAUUCAAUCAAACUUCGAUCAAGGACACUGAAUCUGCCGCAAGUAUAUGGUUUUCAAAAGCGAGUAAAAGACUCAAAAUGCCCACAACAAAUAAUAUUAAUAAUUGAUUUUUGGAAAAUAUUUUGUUUUAAGUGUUCAGCGGUCA